CCUUGAUCAGAUUCUGAAUAUUUGCAGCCCCAGCUACUGUGUGAGUCUUAUUUGUGUGGGGUAUAAACAAUGGCUUCAGGUUAACCAUCCAUGUUGAGUGACCAGUACAGUUGAGGUGGUGGGAGGUAGCAGCCUGACAGCUAUCAUGGCAGGUCUCUAUCAAGCCAGUGACUUAAUUUCCUUCCUUUCCCAGGUUUGAUAAGUAGCAGCAGGAGAUGGAACUGGCCACAGCCCAGGAAGAGAGAGUCCUGCAGAAAGACCUGCUGUAUCAGGAGCCCCCUGCUGAGCCCCAUCCACUGAAACCACAGAAUCCCUUGGGCUCAGAAACUCAUGUAUGAAUCUGGCCUCAAACUUGAUGCAUAGCCAAGGAUGACCUUGAACUUCUGCCUCUGCUUCCUGGGUGUUGGGGAUGGAAACCAGACUUUUGUGUAUACUAGGAUCACCAGUAUCCCCAGCUGCCUCUGAAUUCACUAUGUAAGCCCAAUGCAAGCCCUGGCAGAUGUCUUCAACACCAGAGUGACACUCAGCCUGAAGGCCAGGAUUGAAGGCUGGAAGUACAGGGGCAAGAAAUACCUUUGAAAAUACUCCAGUGUCCAAACUGCUCACUGGUGUUGCUGCCUUGUGAGCCAGGGCACGAGGCUUUGUUGAGGUCACUACUUUUCAUUCCCUCCAAGAUGGACAAGAUGUUUGUUUUGUGCACAGAAUGGAGCAGUGUCUUGAACGUGCUACACAAGCCCCCUAACAGCCAAGCGAAUCCAGCAGCUCUACAGACAUCCUUUCACUAAGCAGUUAUUUCUCCUCCGAUGUUCUGAUCGCUGUGGGCAGCCUCCAAACACUUUUUGAAAAAGCUGGAGAGAAAGGCAAGCUUGAAAAGGGGAAUGCAGGAUAGAGGCAAAGGGAGAGAAGCAGGCAAGCGACUCCACAAUGAUACUCAUUCCUUUAUUGUCAACUGUGUUCAUCUCAACAGGGCUGGGGCCUGCAGGCUGCUGGCAGCACCAAGCUAAGGUGCAUUUCCACUCAACAGAAAGGCCUCCAUCCUAAACCAAGUGGGCAGAGGUUAAUGCUUUAUAUAUAUUUAUAUAUUUAUAUAUUACAUAUGUUCUAGAUAUACAUAUGUCCCAUAUGUAUAGAGUGACAAGAAUGGGCCACUUUGUGUAACUUUAAUUAAAGGCCAUAGCAACAGACAUAGAAAUUUGAUCCUAAUUAAGGCCCGCACUUUGUCAAUCAAAUGUCUGAUACAGUAAAAGAAAAAGAAGAGAGACAGAGACUGAGAUCCAGCCACCUCCGGUAGCCCUGUCUCCAGGGUAUCUUACAUUGAGUGUAGUGCCACCUGUACAGGUGAACAUAAACACACACAUAAACACACACAUAUAAUACCACAGGCAGGAGCACCUCUUCUGACCACACCUUGGGCCCAGCCUUUGGCUGCAGUGCUGAAGUGGAGUAUAUUGUGCUAUAAGACUGUGAGGGUAGUGGACCAGACAAUGUGGAGUCAGUGUGUCCAAGUGAUGAAUGGGGUGACUCAUGCAGCUUCAUCUACAAAUGACAGAGAGCUCAGGGGAGGUCCCUCAAUGCACAGUUCACAUCAGGAGAUUUCUACACACAGCUCCUGUUCCAGAGAAAGCCAUUCCUCUGAUUUGAAUCCUGAGUGUCAAUCACAGGGUUCUGACAGAAACCUAGGGUUCCUUUGAAGGGCAGGCAGCCGCAAGGCUCGGCCAUUCAGUCCAGUGGAGCAGUAGAGAGCACAACAGUGGAGUCAAAGCAAAUGAUACUCAGACAGGACCCUGAAUGGUGCAAGAGGGGCUCAUUUCCCAAAAGGACGAGAAGGACUGCUGCCCUUUGCCACACAGAACUUCUGGCAGAUCUGUCAGCUUCAUGUCUUACAUAAGUAACAGACCUGCUCAUAAGCCAGGGAAGGAGACUCCCAACAUUAGGGCACUGGAAAUCCUAACUCCCUGUUUCCUCUCCCAGAAUUUACCCACUACCACCCACCAAAAUAUGCAUAUUGAAAA